CCCAAAAGUUCAAAUCCAAAGUCUCAUCUGAAAUAAGGCAAAUUCUUUCUGCCUAUGAGCCUGUAAAAUCAAAAGCAAUUCAGUUACUUCCUAGAUACAAUGGGGGUACAGGUAUCGGGUAAAUACACCUGUUCCAAAUGGAAGAAGUGGGACAAAUACAAAGGGGUAGCCAAUAUCCA